rnacentral:piRNA from 1 species
AAAGCACAGAGCCAGAAGAGGACCUAGAGA